UAUUGCAGGCCUUUUCUGGCUAGAAUCUUCUGAGGUUCCACCGAGAACUUUGCCGGGUAAAGUCUGUAGAGACAGAGGGACAGAAGCUCACUAUUCUGUGCCUGUUGGCCAAGCUGUUUACAGCUUUGCAAGGGCACAGCAAAAAGAGAGGUGCUCAUGGUGAAGAAGCUUACUUUUAUCUUCUAUGUAAGAGACUUCCUACUGGGUGUAGAUCUACUCCCAGCACAUUUCAGAACCAGGUGUGUUCAUGCUCCAUGGUUCACAGCCCCGGCUGCAUGCUUGGUGUGGUGGGAGGAAGAAGAACCCCACUGAAGUGCAAAGAAUGUUUGGAGACACAUGAACAACAAGAGUGAAUGAGCUCUGGAUACUAGAUGCCAAAUGUGUAUCAACUCCAGCAAUGAAAAGGGAAAAUCAUUCCUGACUAACCAUAGCCAAAGAGCUUGUCUUGAAGACUAUUCCAGGUCACUGUACUGUGGACUCAGGAUGUCCAUUUUUCCUCAGUGAGGUAACUUUCAGAACAGAACCUCAGUGGAGAAACAAGAGGUUCUGAUUUGUUGCUCAAAGUAGAAAAAUAAACGAUGUUGCACUUCAUAAAUA